UCGAUCUUUAUUCACCCUAGCCGCUACACUCUUUCCUGCAGAUAUCUUUGAGGUAAAGCGUUUUCGAACCCUUAGAUCGUUCUGUUUCUUUUUCCUCUGCUGAAACUAUUUCGAUCCUUGUCUCUUGUUUGUUGUUAUUCUUUACAUGUAUCUCCGACUGGAUUUGAUGCUCUUUGUGAUUUAUCGUUUUGUAUAUUCUGUUCUGUGUGUUUUAGAUUUUGUCGAUUGCAAAUAUCAACUUUUCUACACGAUAUUUUGUUCUUGAAACUAUUUUUCCGAUUCUGAUUGAUCUUGUUUUGAGAUUUUAAAUUGUUUCUAUUGAUUGCUUGUUUUGAUCUAUCCGAGUGAAUUUGUUGAUUUGAAUUGUGAUUGGGUAAUUCGAGAGUAGCAUAAAAAAUCUAGUGUUUCCUUGUUCUUGUUUUCAAGUAAGGGUAAUUCUCGGAUUGUGUGCUGUAGAUUCUCUUGAAAUUACUGAUUUGUUUGAAUUUAGCUCGCUUAGCUCAGAUGAUAGAGCACCACAAUCUUUUUUGUGGUAGAAAUCGGUUUGACUCCGAUAGCAGCUUUUACAAUGAUAUUUUUUGUGAUAAAUGUGAAUUUCAUUCUGAUUAUAUAUGUCAUUGGCCACGUCCAGCAGAACCGAUCUAAACCAAGGGAACACAGAAACCCUAAUCUUCAAUCGGAUAACCCGAUCGAAGCCGUCUUCCCACGAAGCUGCAGACACUCGCCGGAACAGGACCACCGGCGAGCCAGGAAGACGAGAUCGAACGGAGAAGACGACACAGGACCAUCGCCAUCCCGCCACCGUAGAGCUGUGAAGAGAAGGAAGAAGAAACCAAGCUAACCGUCGGGAGACCACGGCUCAGUCGUGAGAGAGGUAAAACAGUAGGGAGUAGACGUAGAUAACCGGCGACGGUGGCAUAGCUUUGCCUUACCUGCCGUAGUCCUCCCCCGCCAAACCGCUGGCCGUGACAAAGCCUCCUGCGUCUCCAAUCGUCUAGAUCUAACCGCCGACCUUACUCGUUCUUUGCCAAUAAACCUCCUUCUUCACUCCGCGUCGCCACAUCUCCGGUAGAGCUCUAACCGGAGCGUCCCGCGGAAGCUUCUCCUCUCCACAAACUCCCUUGAUUUCGAUUUGGUGACCUCACCGGUAAAAUGCAAAGGACUACGGAUGACGCGCCAUGGACCAUGGGUUCCUCAUCAACGCCGGAAUCGCCGGAGAAACCCUUCACUCGGUGCACGCGGUUGUUAUCAGAAGAAGAAGAGGAGGAGAGAGGAGAGAGACGCGAGUGGGACUCACGCACUCUUCUCUUAGUCAUGGAGUGUUGAAAUUAAUAAUCCGUGAUUUUAAAGCAUAAAGUUUCAAUGUUUAAAGAAACAAAUUCAAACUUGUUUCCAGAUAAUCAAAACUCCAUAGUCAUAUCACUGCACGACAAACUAAUACAUUGUGAACGAAGUAAUCAAAACCCAGAAAGUGCAGAUCUUGGAGAGAGUCAUAUCAUAUAAGAGAGGAUUUAAAAUUUGACAAUCGUUAAAUCCCGAUGUAUAUACCCAGAUUGAGGAAAACUCAAAAGAAAGUUGCAAACCUGCUUCUUAGGCAUAUCUGAAGAUAAAAAUCUGAUAGAGGAGUUAAAACAGAGAGAGCGAGCUAAGGUAAGGUAAGGAGAAGAUGAUCGGAGAGAAAGAUGAAUGUUUAAAGCGAAGAGAGUUGUGUGUGGAAUUAACGACAUCAACACGUGGCUUAACAAGGUGCGAACCACGUAAUAACAACGAGAGAUGGCGGCGACCAAGUUAGUUCGACGUGCUUGCUGAGUCACCAACAAGCUGUGAAACCGGCGGGACGACGACGGAGUUAGUGGAAGUGUUAUGGUGCGAGAAAGACCACUGUAACAAACAAAAAAUCUACAACAAAAUUUACGAAAACACCCAGUGGCUUAGGAGGCCUAUAUCUAGGGGCUAGGGCUGUUAAUCUGGGCUAUUUUACCCAGCCCAAUUCCAGACUAUCAGAAACUUGUCCACCAAAAACUCAGCCCACACAAAAACCCAUUGGCAAACUUGGCUAUUCUCGACCAAAUUUA
rnacentral:lncRNA from 1 species